rnacentral:rRNA from 1 species
AGUGAACGCUGGCGGUAGGCCUAACACAUGCAAGUCGAACGGCAGCACAGUAAGAGCUUGCUCUUACGGGUGGCGAGUGGCGGACGGGUGAGGAAUACAUCGGAAUCUACUUUUUCGUGGGGGAUCACGUAGGGACACUUACGCUAAUACCGCAUACGACCUACGGGUGAAAGCAGGGGAUCUUCGGACCUUGCGCGAUUGAAUGCGCCGAUGUCGGAUUAGCUAGUUGGCGGGGUAAGGGCUCACCAAGGCGACGAUCCGUAGCUGGUCUGAGAGGAUGAUCAGCCACACUGGAACUGAGACACGGUCCAGACUCCUACGGGAGGCAGCAGUGGGGAAUAUUGGACAAUGGGCGCAAGCCUGAUCCAGCCAUACCGCGUGGGUGAAGAAGGCCUUCGGGUUGUAAAGCCCUUUUGGUGGGAAAGAAAAGCAGCAGGUUAAUACCUCGCUGUUCUGACGGUACCCAAAGAAGAAGCACCGGCUAACUUCGUG